AAAAGGGGGCCAUUGUAUGCGUUUACGCAAGGACCUCACGUGCGCUUACGCUCCCACGGCGACGCAGUUAGGGAAUUCGGGACUCGUAUAAAAGGGUGUAACGUCGAAUCUAUCGUCACUUCCAAAAUUUCCAUCGCAGUGAACAGUACCGGGGGCCCACUGGGUCCCCGGAGAGAGUGCGCGUUCAAUAUUACCAUCACGUUCAAACUUCACAUUACUAGUUUGUCAAUUAAAAGUUGGAAGCAGACGCGAAGUUAAUCAAUGUUUUAGUAACAGUAAAAGCAAUUUCGUUUCGUAGAAAACAUCUUCGUAAGUCUAUUUGGAGAUUGUUUCGGGAACACUUUCGGGAAUAUUUAUUGAUAUGGCUAACUAAAGCUAAGCUGUAAUGCCUAAAAUGCAGUGGUCCAGUGGCAUAUAUCGACCGAAAGGUACGUGUUGUGGCUAAAAUGUUAGCCAAACGUUAUGAAUCACCGGAGCUAUAGAUUUACCUAAAAUUAGCAUAGGCUUUGUCGUGUGUCUAGGAUUAAUUCAACGUGUGAAAUUGCAUUAAAUAUAUGAUUUUUUGAUUAACAAUUCUCUAUUUCGCCUUAAUGCACGGUCUUGUUUGUAUUUCAAGUUUCAACCAAGUUAAGUUUUAUUUAACCUGUUAAGCUCGUUCUCAGUUCCCUUGUUACUGUUUCUGUUAAACACCGUUAAUUGUUAAUUAUCUCAUUUGGUUAGUUUUUGUUAAGUUUAAGUUAAAAUCGUAAAACAUGUUGAGUUAAAAAAAGAAAAUAUUGUUUGAAUAAGUUUAAUCUUUCUUCAUCAUUGUUUGUUAUGUUACUAUCAAAUGUGUUUGUUGGAAUGUGUUCAUUAAACGUUGAUAAUUGUUUCUGGUUAAAAAUAAACAGUAAAAUUAUGAUGAUUAAAAAAAUUGUUAACUUGGGUUAAGUUUGAGUUAUGAGAUAAUUUGAGUUAAAGUUGAGUUUUUCGUUGUUACGUUAAGUUUACGUUUCAAAACCAAUAGGAGAAUGACCAAAAACAAUGCAGUAAUAACUGCUUCUAAAGUUACAAAAUUCGUGAAGUUUGAAAUGUUUUAAAUUAAACAUAAUAUUGAUGAGCAAAGUUUUGUCAAAUUGUUGUGAAAACCAGCUGGUCUGGUUAUCGUUUGGUAACUUUUGUUUUUUAUUUCGUUGUUAGCCAUUUCCGUUUCCGUUAAUUUGUUGAAUUUUCGUUUUGUUCUAUCAUUUUCAAAUUACGUUGUUGUUUCUACACGUUGUUGUUUAACACGGUAUUCAUUUAAAUCGUUAAUCUGUGGAACGUUGAAUUUUUGUUUUCUUUUGUAAUUUUGAUGUUGAUUUAACUGUUUUUACCGUUGAUUUUUUGUUUUGAUAUAAACUUCGUUCAUUAAACUUUAAAUAUCAUUUCAAUAUACUAUUUAUGUAAUAUUGGGUUAAAAAUACUAAAAAGAUAUUCUUCACCAAGUGCCUUCGGAAGUGCCUGUAAUUGUUUCCUUCUUUUGUGGUUAAUUAACCGCCGAAGAAUGUUUUAUCGUGUUUAUAAUAUAGAACAAAAUUAUUUGUUCAACGCAUUCAUAAAUCAACUAAGUGUAGCGUAAUGUUACAAAAGUAAGAAUAUGAAUUUAAAAUAUUAUAUUCACGAUAAUAAUGUUAUUUAUGAAUGCUUAAUGACUAUUUUCGCCCACUAUAUUCCAUAGUAUUAUUAAAUUUCAAUAUAUUCGGUUAUAACAAUAUUUCGAUAAAAUUAUCGAGAUAAUGUGACCUUAAUUAAAUUGUUUCAUAUGAGCGCAGCACUUUACACAUUCAGAGUAUUUAAACAUAAUGUUUUAGCAUUUACUUUGCAAACUUCAUCAAUACCUACUUUAGGGACGAAAAUGGUAAUUACGCUCUAUUGUUAUAUCGUUAAUUGUUACCAAUAAUUUGAAUCGUUUGUUAAAAUUGUUACCGUUAAUUAAUUAAUAAGUGUUGAUUUGUCGUUUGUCAUUAAAUUUUUUAACUGUUACUCAUAUGGCUGUGUUUGUUAGUUUUAUAUUAAGUUUUCGUUUUAACUGUGUUGUUACGCCGUCAUUAAGGUCUCAAAAUUGUAACCGAUUAGUGUAAAAUGUAAAUAUUAUUUUAAGUGUUUGUGUAAGUUAAAACUAAAGCUUUGGAUAAAAUUAACAGAUAAGUAUUUAUUAGAGAUGUAUGAAAGCGUUCGUGUGGUAAUAAAUGAUGUAAAGAAAA